rnacentral:tRNA from 1 species
GCCGUGGUGGUUCAGUGGUAGAAUUCUCACCUUCCAUGCAGGAGACCUGGAUUCGAUUCCCGGCCAACGCC